CCGACUGUAGCUCAGUUGGUAGAGCACAAGACUGUUAUAGCUCCAGAGUUCUGUUCUUGUCUUGGGUCGCCUGUUCGAAUCAGGCAGGUCGGA